rnacentral:rRNA from 1 species
UACGAAGGGGGCUAGCGUUGCUCGGAAUCACUGGGCGUAAAGGGUGCGUAGGCGGGUCUUUAAGUCAGAGGUGAAAUCCUGGAGCUCAACUCCAGAACUGCCUUUGAUACUGAGGAUCUUGAGUUCGGGAGAGGUGAGUGGAACUGCGAGUGUAGAGGUGAAAUUCGUAGAUAUUCGCAAGAACACCAGUGGCGAAGGCGGCUCACUGGCCCGAUACCUGACGCUGAGGCACGAAAGCGUGGGGAAGCAAACAGGG